rnacentral:tRNA from 1 species
GCAGUUGUUUGCUUAGUGAUAGAGUGCAUGCUUUGUAUGUAUAAUGUCCUGGGUUCAAUCCCCAGCUUCUCCC